CUGUGCUGUGAGCUCUGGAGGCAGCGCUGGGCGACUCACCAUGGCCUGGACCCCUCUCCUGCUCCCCCUCCUCACUCUCUGCACAGGUGC
rnacentral:pre_miRNA from 1 species